rnacentral:rRNA from 1 species
GACGAACGCUGGCGGCGUGCUUAACACAUGCAAGUCGAACGGAAAGGCCCUGCUUUUGUGGGGUGCUCGAGUGGCGAACGGGUGAGUAACACGUGAGUAACCUGCCCUUGACUUUGGGAUAACUUCAGGAAACUGGGGCUAAUACCGGAUAGGAGCUCCUGCUGCAUGGUGGGGGUUGGAAAGUUUCGGCGGUUGGGGAUGGACUCGCGGCUUAUCAGCUUGUUGGUGGGGUAGUGGCUUACCAAGGCUUUGACGGGUAGCCGGCCUGAGAGGGUGACCGGCCACAUGGGGACUGGGAUACGGCCCAGACUCCUAGGGGAGGCAGGGGGGGGGAAUAUUGCAAAAGGGGCGGAAGCCUGAGGCAGCACCGCCGCGGGGGGGAUGAGGGCCUUCGGGUUGUAAACCGCUUUCGCCUGGGACGAAGCGUGAGGGACGGUAAGGGGUAAAGAAGCACCGGCAAACUACG